UGGAUCCACUUGGAGAAGGGAAAGGCAAAACGAAGGUGUGCCUGCAGUCUACAAGAGCCUUUAUGAGGAUGAAAGGCUGCAAGGUGUCAAGAUGGACAUGCAGCACCCUCCCCCAUAAUCGCCAACAAGACAGCACAUCCUGUGGUGUCCUGGCCUUAAAAUUUGAAACCUCACAGAAGGC